UACUGUCCAGAUGUUAUUCUUCCUUGUGGCGCAGACGUAAAGUCGUUCAGCUCGUCUAUUCCCUGCCCAAAGAUGAAGAGAAGCUGCUCAGUUGUCCUUUAUCUGUCUCUAUCAUUCAUCUUUCACGUCUCUGCUAACCCAGCUCCUUACGGAAAAUGCACGGAUAUCGAGGGCCACCACUACCAGCUUCCGGGGAAGGGCCAUAAAACAGAUCACGACGGCUGUAUAGUCACAUAUGAGCCUAAUGAAUGCAAGUACCUCUGCUAUAAACCCUAUGUCCCACGAGGUGAAGUAGUACAGUGGCGAAACAGGCCGGAUGGAACUUGGUGUCCCUACACUUUUAAUCGUGGCACCAGCAUCCACACGGAGUAUGUUACUGUUAGCGCCACAUGCAAUCUGGGGACGUGCGGUUGAAACACGGGGUGCUUUCCUUCUUGCCCAUGCGGCUCGUCCCUUCAGCCUCCACUCGUAUAAUGCUGCUGGUGCCGUCGGCGACUCACUGUUUUCUUGCUUCACACCAAUAUUACGAAUAUCUUACGGCCAACGGGUUUUCUCAAUAAAGACGUGGACAGUUGUC